rnacentral:rRNA from 1 species
AAUGAACGUUGGCGGCGUGGAUUAGGCAUGCAAGUCGAACGGGCCACGGGUAGCAAUACUUGUGGUCAGUGGCGUAAGGGAGAGUAAUACGUAGGUAUUUACCCUGGGGUCUGGGAUAGCGGCGGGAAACUGCCGGUAAUACCAGAUGAUAUCUCCGGAUCAAAGGUGUGAUUCCGCCCUAGGAGAAGCCUGCGGUCUAUUAGCUAGUUGGUAGGGUAACGGCCUACCAAGGCAGAGAUGGAUAUGGGGGCUGAGAGCGUGCCCCAUCACUGGGACUGAGACACUGCCCAGACACCUACGGGUGCUGCAGUCGAGAAUCUUCGGCAAUGGGCNCAAGCCUGACCGAGCGACGCCGCGUGCGGGAUGAAGGCCUUA